rnacentral:rRNA from 1 species
GACGAACGCUGGCGGCGUGCUUAACACAUGCAAGUCGAACGGAAAGGCCCGGCGUUUGUGGGGUGCUCGAGUGGCGAACGGGGGAGUAACACGUGAGUAACCUGCCCUUGACUUUGGGAUAACUUCAGGAAACUGGGGCUCAUACCGGGUAGGAUCUCCUGCUGCAUGGGGGGGGAUGGAAAGUUUCGGCGGUUGGGGAUGGACUCGCGGCUUAUCAGCUUGUUGGUGGGGUAGUGGCUUACCAAGGCUUUGACGGGUAGCCGGCCUGAGAGGGUGACCGGCCACAUUGGGACUGAGAUACGGCCCAGACUCCUACGGGAGGCAGCAGUGGGGAAUAUUGCACAAUGGGCGGAAGCCUGAUGCAGCAACGCCGCGUGCGGGAUGACGGCCUUCGGGUUGUAAACCGCUUUCGCAUGUGACGAAGCGUGAGUGACGGUAAUGGGUAAAGAAGCACCGGCUAACUACGUG